AUUGAACGCUGGCGGCAGGCCUAACACAUGCAAGUCGAACGGUAACAGGAAGAAGCUUGCUUCUUUGCUGACGAGUGGCGGACGGGUGAGUAAUGUCUGGGAAACUGCCUGAUGGAGGGGGAUAACUACUGGAAACGGUAGCUAAUACCGCAUAACGUCGCAAGACCAAAGAGGGGGACCUUCGGGCCUCUUGCCAUCGGAUGUGCCCAGAUGGGAUUAGCUAGUAGGUGGGGUAACGGCUCACCUAGGCGACGAUCCCUAGCUGGUCUGAGAGGAUGACCAGCCACACUGGAACUGAGACACGGUCCAGACGCCUAAGGGAGGGAGCAGUGGGGAAUAUUGCACAAUGGGCGCAAGCCUGAUGCAGCCAUGCCGCGUGUAUGAAGAAGGCCUUCGGGUUGUAAAGUACUUUCAGCGGGGAGGAAGGGAGUAAAGUUAAUACCUUUGCUCAUUGACGUUACCCGCAGAAGAAGCACCGGCUAACUCCGUG
rnacentral:rRNA from 1 species